rnacentral:rRNA from 1 species
UACGUAGGUGGCAAGCGUUGUCCGGAUUUAUUGGGUUUAAAGGGUGCGUAGGCGGUCUAUUAAGUCAGUGGUGAAAUAUGGCAGCUUAACUGUCAAGGUGCCAUUGAUACUGAUGGACUUGAGUGAAGCUGAGGUUGGCGGAAUUGACGGUGUAGCGGUGAAAUGCUUAGAUAUCGUCAAGAACACCGAUAGUGAAGACAGCUAACUAGACUUAUACUGACGCUGAGGCACGAAAGUGUGGGGAUCAAACAGG